GACGAACGCUGGCGGCGUGCUUAACACAUGCAAGUCGAACGGAAAGGCCCUGCUUUUGUGGGGUGCCCGAGUGGCGAACGGGUGAGUAACACGUGAGUAACCUGCCCUUGAUUUUGGGAUAACUUCAGGAAACUGGGGCUAAUACCGGACAGGAGCUCCUGUUGCAUGGUGGGGGUGGGAAAGUUUCGGCGGUUGGGGAUGGACUCGCGGCUUAUCAGCUUGUUGGUGGGGUAGUGGCUUACCCACGCUUUGACGGGUCGCCGGCCUGUGAGGGUGGCCGGCCACAAUGGGCCUGAGGGACGGCCCAGACUCCAACGGGGGACAGCAGGCGGGAGUAUUGCACAGUGAGCGGGAGCCUGAUGCAGAAGCGCCCCGUUCGGGAUGACGGCCUUCGGGUUGUAAACCGCUUUCGCCUGUGACGAAGCGUGAGUGACGGUAAUGGGUAAAGAAGCACCGGCUAACUACGUG
rnacentral:rRNA from 1 species